rnacentral:tRNA from 1 species
GGCCCCAUCGUCUAGUGGUUAGGACGCUAGGUUUUCACCCUGGUAACGCGGGUUCGAUUCCCGCUGGGGCCG